CCCAGCUGAUUUGCAUAAGCAGCAGGUCUUUCCAGCAAGGGGAUAAGAGAUGCCUGGAAGGAACUUUGCCCAAGGUCUUGGUAGCAGAAUCAGUGCGUCUCCACCAUGGCCUGGACCCCUCUUCUCCUCAGUAUCCUGGCUCACUGCACAGGUUCCAUGGCCUCCUACGUGCUGACCCAGCCCCCGUCAGUGUCAGUGAACCUGGGACAGACAGCCAGAAUCACCUGUGGGGGAAACAACAUUGGAAGUAAAAAUGCUUACUGGUACCAGCAGAAGCCAGGCCAGGCCCCCAUGCUGGUCAUUUACUAUAGCAGCAACCGGCUCUCAGGGAUCCCUGACUGAUUCUCUGGCACCAACUCGGGGAACACGGCCACCCUGACCAUCAGCGGGGCCCAGGCUGAGGACGAGGCUGACUAUUACUGUAAGGUGUGGGAUGGCAGUAGUGAUGCUCACAGUGACACAGGCAGAUGGGGAAGUGAGACAAACCCCUUCCCCAUCUGUAUCACACUCUCCUCCAGCCUCAGCGGUCUGACCCAGGUCCCCAGACCUCCUAUCCACCCACGCUUCACGCAGCACCACCAGAGGAUAUAUCAGGGUUGAUCUGGGGGCUCUUGGGAUUUUUUUUGAGCCUGAGUAUGUUUGGCAACAGAGGACCUGAGUGGAAGGACAAACAGAAAGAAACAUCCAUCCGCUGCUCCUUACCCCUCCAUGUCCAUAUGGCGGUCAUGGGCCGUUCCUUCACCCAACUGACGAAUAUUAGAGGCCUGAAUUUCUCAGCUCAGCUGAGCUCCAGAAGCCCUGCCACCAUGACAGCUGGGGAUUCUGAGUGGAGCACACUAGUGCAUUAUUCACUGUGGUGUCACCCCCCUCCUGGGCUCACACAUGCACCCACCUCUGCCUGGAGCCCCUGACAGCUCACAGGGGUCCUCCUCACUGUGAAGUGCCCUUGGAUCAGACAACUGCCUCCCCAGGUUUCUGCCCCUUCUCAGAGAGGUUCAGGUGCAUGCUGGCCUGAGUGAAUGAAGGCCCUGCCUCAGGUUCAGAUGUCCUGAAGGUCUCAGCUUUAGAGCUCCCUGCAGGGAUGGAGGCCUCAUCUGAUGUCUCACUGCACGUGGGUCACUUCUCCUUCUGCCCAG